rnacentral:rRNA from 1 species
CCUACGGGAGGCAGCAGGGGGGAAUAUUGCACAAUGGGCGAAAGCCUGAUGCAGCGACGCCGCGUGAGGGAUGACGGCCUUUGGGUUGUAAACCUCUUUCAGCAGGGAAGAAGCGAAAGUGACGGUACCUGCAGAAGAAGCGCCGGCUAACUACGUGCCAGCAGCCGCGGUAAUACGUAGGGCGCAAGCGUUGUCCGGAAUUAUUGGGCGUAAAGAGCUCGUAGGCGGCUUGUCACGUCGGUUGUGAAAGCCCGGGGCUUAACCCCGGGUCUGCAGUCGAUACGGGCAGGCUAGAGUGUGGUAGGGGAGAUCGGAAUUCCUGGUGUAGCGGUGAAAUGCGCAGAUAUCAGGAGGAACACCGGUGGCGAAGGCGGAUCUCUGGGCCAUUACUGACGCUGAGGAGCGAAAGCGUGGGGAGCGAACAGGAUUAGAUACCCUGGUAGUCCACGCCGUAAACGGUGGGAACUAGGUGUUGGCGACAUUCCACGUCGUCGGUGCCGCAGCUAACGCAUUAAGUUCCCCGCCUGGGGAGUACGGCCGCAAGGCUAAAACUCAAAUGAAUUGACGG